rnacentral:rRNA from 1 species
UACAGAGGUCUCAAGCGUUGUUCGGAUUCAUUGGGCGUAAAGGGUGCGUAGGCGGCGCGGUAAGUCGGGUGUGAAAUCUUGGAGCUUAACUCCGAAACUGCAUUCGAUACUGCCGUGCUUGAGGACUGGAGAGGAGACUGGAAUUUACGGUGUAGCGGUGAAAUGCGUAGAUAUCGGGAGGAACACCAGUGGCGAAGGCGGCGACCUGGGCAGAUACUGACGCUGAGGUGCGAAAGCGUGGGGAGCAAACAGG